UGAAAGAAGAGGUGGUCCGAUAUUGGGACAGCAUGGACCACGACUUUCUAACUUCUUUGAUCCAUAUUAUACUCGCCGCAUUGAAGCCAACAUUGCUGCCCAUGGUGACUUGACAAAAUACUAACUGUUCACCUGUCUUUGAAUCUGGAGUUAUGUUCUGCUAAUAUUCACAUUUAAUACGUCAGUAAUGAGUGAAAAAGAUAAAAACUUACAAUCUUUAACUUCUCAAUAAGUUCUGGUUGUACUGUA